GACAGAGGUCCCGAGCGUUAGGCGGAAUCACUGGGCUUAAAGCGUGUGUAGGCGGCGGCCUAAGUACCUUGUGAAAUCCCACGGCUCACCCGUGGGACUGCUCGGUAUACUGGGUCGCUUGAGCCACUUAGGGGCUACCGGAACAAAUGGUGGAGCGGUGAAAUGCGUAGAUAUCAUUUGGAACGCCAAUGGUGAAAACAGGUAGCUGGGAGUGUGCUGACGCUGAGACACGAAAGCCAGGGGAGCAAACGGG
rnacentral:rRNA from 1 species